ensembl:snoRNA
AAAUAAAUAAAUAAACUCUGAUGCUAGCAGAGCACACACAAGAAAAGUAACUGCACUGGAUCCCAAAGACGGGUGGACCUCUUUCUUAAUGUUCAGUGUCCUUUGUCUUAAGAUUUGGUGCAAUAAGU